GCUCAGCAGACGGGAUGUGAUUGCUGCAAGGAGUGGGCUUUGUGCUAGGAGAUCACAGAAGGGGCAGCAUGUCUACCUGCCAUCUGUAGCCAUCUACUUUGCACAGGAUGAAUAGGCAGCCUGUCUAAGCAGAUCAGACUGCUAGAGAAUAUAGGGAUAGCUGCUAGAUUGCCCUGACCUAGAUUUAUCUAUAGGAUGCCCAGUGUGACCGAUACACACUGAGAGUCAUCCAGUCCUACUGAAAGGUUGAGUCGAGAUCGGUCACUCCUCGUCACCGACCAGAUCGCCCAGUAGCCUUUGGAAGGGUGAGGAUGAAGGAUCGCACCCGGGAGCUGCGCGCUGCUAAAGACAGCGAUGAAGAUGAUGAAGUGGCUGUCAGCUUGGAUCGAGACCGCUUCAUGGAUGAAUUCUUUGAACAGGUGGAGGAGAUCAGAGGUUUCAUUGACAAGAUAGCCGAGAAUGUGGAGGAAGUAAAAAGAAAGCACAGCGCUAUCCUUGCUUCUCCUAACCCAGAUGAGAAAACCAAGGUAGAAUUGGAAGAGCUGAUGUCGGACAUCAAAAAGACAGCCAACAAGGUCCGCUCCAAGCUGAAGAAUAUUGAACAAAGCAUUGAACAGGAAGAAGCCAUGAACCGCUCUUCUGCUGACCUGCGUAUCCGAAAAACACAGCACUCAACAUUGUCUCGCAAGUUUGUAGAGGUGAUGUCUGAAUACAAUGCAACUCAGUCAGAUUACCGUGAACGCUGCAAAGGCCGUAUCCAGAGACAGCUUGAAAUCACUGGGAGAACUACAACAAGUGAAGAGCUGGAAGACAUGUUGGAAAGUGGAAACCCAGCCAUCUUCUCAUCAGGGAUCAUCAUGGACUCUAACAUUACUAAGCAAGCCCUGAACGAGAUUGAGACUCGGCACAGCGAAAUCAUCAAACUGGAGAACAGCAUUCGGGAGCUGCAUGACAUGUUCAUGGACAUGGCAAUGCUUGUAGAGAGCCAGGUUAAAGCUGAUCGGAGCAAGUGGGGCUGAAAGCCACCCACAGAAGAACAGGUAACAUGCAAGUGAUGAAGAUUUAACAGCAACGUAUUAAGUAACUCUUUUUCUGGCCCUCUUCUAUUAUCCCUUGCUCACUCUUCCUAUAUCACUUUCCACUUUCUCUAUCUUCUACUGCGGUCUUCUGCUAUUUCUAUUGUCCUGGACUUGUCUCCUGUGUUCUCUGAACUUUAUCACGUCUUUUCUGCAUUGUGCCUUCAUAUUUAUCUCUUUUGGUCAUUCGAAUGUUUCUGUGACCUUUUAUUUGUUUCUGCUUCUAUUUUCUCCAUGCUCGUUCCUUGCCCUCUGCUCUGUGAACCUUGUCUUCGAUAUAAAUUUCAUUCUCAUACUAACUGAUAAUGCAUGCUUCCUCUCUGCCAUGAACAUGGCUAUGACCACUUGCAUGUGUCUGAUCUCGUAUGUCGCUUUUAUGUAUUUCUCCAACUUCUCUGUGUUACUUUCUCUCUCUCUCUUGAUGUCUUCCGAACUUCUCUGGCUCCUUCUUUUUGGCCUCUUCUGUCUCUCCUUUUCCCUGCCCCCUUCUUUCUACACACCAUCAGGGAGAGAUGAUCGAUCGCAUCGAAUAUAACGUGGAGCAUUCAGUGGAUUAUGUGGAAAGAGCUGUGUCUGACACCAAAAAAGCUGUCAAGUACCAGAGUAAAGCCAGAAGGAAGAAGAUCAUGAUCAUUAUCUGCUGUGUGGUGCUUGGGAUUGUUAUUGCUUCAACGUUCGGAGGAAUAUUCGGAUAGAGAACAGAACAGCAGCCACAAAUUGCAUGUUCUGGACAUGGCAGGAAAUAUGCGGUAAUCAGUGCAAGCCGCACCUGAAGGUGGGGGACUGACAGCGAAAACACGCUUCCCAAGCGGAGAGCCCCUCUGCAUGACUACCCUGUGUGUAACCCAGCGCACGUACCCAGGGAGAGACUGUUUGCUGCGGGAGGGGGAGGAAGGGUUUUUAAAAAGCCAGACCAUUGACUUGGAAUUGGAUGCAAAGCAACGCCCGUGCUUCUUACCUCCAAGAAGAGAAUUCUCCAGCAGUGAUGAAUCCAGCUUGGUGCUUUUAGGGAUCAAUAUAGGGUUAGAUUUCUUGUGCUGCCUUUAUAUUUUGUCCCCAUGCCCACCAGAUGCCUUUUGGAUUUGGAGAAGGAUCUACCACAGCCAACUAGACGCCAGUGUUGGGCCAAAGUGCCAAGCAUAGCCAAUUUAUUUCCACUACAUUCCUCCCCCCCCUCUGAACAAAAAAUUACUUGGGACAGCGCGCUGGGACAGACCACGUUGGCCUCCCCUUUGCAUGACAGGGGUUCAGUGUUGGGUUAAACAUUUUAAGGUUGGAAUAUGCUUUGUGUGAUCCUCGCCCUUAAUCAACACCUCUCCAGGAGAGGGGCACAUUCCCAUUUUUUUGUAUCAUGUGCAUACAUUUCCUUUUUGUAAUUGUGUGAGCAAGGUGUCCACUUGUGUGUGUAUAUGUCUCUCUAAACCACAUAUGCAGACAAAUCAAUGUGUGAGGAGACUCCUGUGUACUGGAAGCUGUGCACAUGUCACAGUGGGGCACGGCGGAGCCAUCGGGUUGAUGAUGGUAAACCAAGCCCUGACGUGCCUUACGGCUUGCACCAUUCGGGAGUUAACCCCUUUUAGAGCUGGGAAAAUCUCUCUACUUUCCCAACUCCAAAGGGAUUAAUCACCAGCAUGUUUUGUGAGGAGAGUUUUUAUAUUUGGUGUUAUAUCUUCCUGGUGUAUUUUGUCUGCAGCCCUUCUGUGGCAUUUAAUAAAUGACGUGACUUUGGGAA